rnacentral:rRNA from 1 species
ACUCCUACGGGAGGCASCAGUGGGGAAUCUUGCACAAUGGGGGAAMCCCUGAUGCAGCGACGCCGCGUGAGCGAUGAAGCCCUUCGGGGUGUAAAGCUCUUUCGGCAGGGAAGAUGAUGACGGUACCUGCAGAAGCAGSUGSGGCUAMMUACGUGCCAGCAGCCGCGGUAAUACGUAGGCAGCGAGCGUUGUUYGGAGUUACUGGSCGUAAAGGGUGUGUAGSCGGUUGUUUAAKUUUGGUGUGAAAUCUCCCGGCUCAACYGGGAGGGUGCGCCGAAUACUGAAUGACUUGGAGUGCGGGAGAGGUGAGUGGAAUUCCUGGUGUAGCGGUGAAAUGSGUAGAUAUCMGGAGGAACACCGGUGGUGUAGMCGSCUCACUGGMCCGUAACUGACGCUGAGACACGAAAGCGUGGGUAGCAAACAGGAUUAGAUACCCUGGUAGUCCMCGCCCUAAACGAUGCAUAUUUGAUGUGGGCAGUUCAUUCUGUCCGUGCCGGAGCUAACGCGUUAAAUAUGCCGCCUGGGGRGUACAGUCGCAUGGCUGAAACUCAAAUGAAUUGACG